CCCUUAGAUGUUCUGGGCCGCACGCGCGCUACACUGACGAAUGCAACGAGCUUAUAACCUUGGCCGAAAGGUCUGGGUAAUCUCCAAAUUUCGUCGUGAUGGGGAUAGAUUAUUGCAAUUAUUAAUCUUCAACGAGGAAUGCCUAGUAAGCGCAAGUCAUCAGCUUGCGUUGAUUACGUCCCUGCCCUUUGUACACACCGCCCGUCGCACCUACCGAUUGAAUGGUCCGGUGAAGCCUCCGGAUUGGCGCGCACCUCGGUGCCGCCGAGAAGUUGGCUAAACCUUACCAUUUAGAGGAAGGUGAANUCGUAACA
rnacentral:rRNA from 1 species